AUACGGAGGGUGCAAGCGUUAUUCGGAAUCACUGGGCGUAAAGGACGCGUAGGCGGGUUGGCAAGUCAGAUGUGAAAUCCUACAGCUUAACUGUAGAACUGCAUUUGAAACUGCUAACCUAGAGUAUGGGAGGGGGAGAUGGAAUUAGUGGUGUAGGGGUAAAAUCCGUAGAUAUCACUAUGAAUACCGAAAGCGAAGGCGAUCUCCUGGAACAUAACUGACGCUAAGGCGUGAAAGCGUGGGGAGCAAACAGGAUUAGAAACCCUAGUAGUCC
rnacentral:rRNA from 1 species